rnacentral:lncRNA from 1 species
UGAUCGGUGCAUUACGUUUGCGCGCAUUACCAUUACAUUUGCGCGCAGAAAUCAUUACGUUUGCGCGCAGCUUUUCAUUACAAUUGCGCGCAUUUAUUUGGCAGGUAAACUCAGGUAAGCUUAGGCAAUAACUCUUAUUUAUCUAUAAAUUUAUUCAAUUAUUUUUAAGUAAAAGUACCCUUUCCGUUAGUCCAAGUCACCUGCUCACCCACGAGGAGGUAGAAGUUGGAUACAAGCAGGAUAAGUCGGUUGCAUUAUAUUCUAUCAAUCCGA